rnacentral:rRNA from 1 species
CAGCUAGGAUGUUGGCUUAGAAGCAGCCAUCAUUUAAAGAAAGCGUAAUAGCUCACUAGUCGAGUCGGCCUGCGCGGAAGAUGUAACGGGGCUGAAAUAUAGCACCGAAGCUGCGGCAUCAGGCGUAUCACUAAUACGCCUUACGAUUAACAAGCUAGAAUGGCACGAAGCGUCAUGAAAGGUUGUUCAAGCAACCCGAACGUUGAGUCGGCACAUUUUUGAAGUAAGGAUUAUUAGUGAUACGCCUGUUGGGUAGGGGAGCGUUGUGUAAGCGGAAGAAGGUUCAUCGAGAGGUGGGCUGGACGUAUCACAAGUGCGAAUGCUGACAUAAGUAACGAUAAAACGGGUGAAAAACCCGUUCGCCGGAAGACCAAGGGUUCCUGUCCAACGUUAAUCGGGGCAGGGUGAGUCGGCUCCUAAGGCGAGGCUGAAAAGCGU